rnacentral:rRNA from 1 species
AGAGCAUAGGGCGGAUGCCUUGGCACUAAGAGCUGAUGAAGGACGCGAUAAGCUGCGAAAAGCUUCGGGGAGCUGCAAAUGAGCGUAGAUCCGGAGAUGUCCGAAUGGGGAAACCCACUGACUGUUAUGAGUCAGUAUCCUAUAGUGAAUACAUAGCUAUAGGAGGGGAACCGGGAGAACUGAAACAUCUAAGUAUCCCGAGGAAGAGAAAGAAAAAUCGAUUACCCAAGUAGCGGCGAGCGAAAAGGUAAGAGCCCAAACCUAAGACUGCGGUUUUAGGGGUUGCGGACAAUGUUGUAACGUGAAGGUAACCUAGCCAAAGGAGAUGGGAAGCUCCGCCAUAGACGGUGAUAGUCCGGUAGGCGAAAGGUGAAGAACACAGACGUUGAUCCAGAGUACCACGAGACACGUGAAACCUUGUGGGAAGCAGGAGGGACCACCCUCCAAGGCUAAAUACUACUUAGUGACCGAUAGCGCAUAGUACCGUGAGGGAAAGGUGAAAAGAACCCCGGGAGGGGAGUGAAAAAGAAUCUGAAACCCUAUGUUUACAAGCAGUGGAAGCACAUGAAUAGUGCGACCAUGUACUUUUUGUAGAACGGGCCAACGAGUUACGAUAUGCAGCAAGGUUAAGCUUUUCAGAAGCGGAGCCGCAGGGAAACCGAGUCUUAAUAGGGCGCUGUAGUUGUAUGUCGUAGACCCGAAACCGAGUGAUCUAUCCAUGAGCAGGGUGAAGCAAAAGUAAAAUUUUGUGGAGGCCCGAACCCGUGUCUGUUGAAAAAGGCUGGGAUGACUUGUGGAUAGGGGUGAAAUUCCAAUCGAACUCGGAGAUAGCUGGUUCUCCCCGAAAUAGCUUUAGGGCUAGCCUUAAGGAGAAAGAGUUACGGAGGUAGAGCACUGAAUACUCUAGGGGCUUUCAUCGGCUACCGAAAGUUAUCAAACUCCGAAUGCCGUCAACUUAUCCUUAGGAGUCAGACUAUGGGUGAUAAGAUUCAUAGUCGAGAGGGAAACAGCCCAGACCAUCAGCUAAGGUCCCAAAAUAUAGAUUAAGUGGGAAAGGAUGUGGGAUUGCACAGACAACUAGGAUGUUGGCUUAGAAGCAGCCAUACAUUUAAAGAGUGCGUAAUAGCUCACUAGUCGAGUGAUCCUGCGCCGAAAAUUACCGGGGCUCAAAUCUAUUACCGAAGCUAUGGCUUGACACUUAGGUGUCAGGGGUAGGGGAGCAUUGUAUAAGGGGCGAAGGUGUACCGAAAGGCGCGCUGGACAUUAUACAAGAGAGAAUGUUGGCAUGAGUAGCGAAAGAUAGGUGAGAAACCUAUCCACCGAAUACCCAAGGUUUCCUGAGGAAGGUUUGUCCGCUCAGGGUAAGUCAGGGCCUAAGCCGAGGACGAAAGUCGUAGGCGAUGGACAACAGGUUAAGAUUCCUGUACCAGUUAAUGUUGUUUGAAGGAUGGGGCGACACAGUAGGAUAGGCACAGCGCACAGUUGGUUUAGUGCGUCCAAGCGUUGAGGCAUGCUUUAGAGGGAAAUCCCUAGAGCUGAGCUGGGGCGUGAUGGGGAGCGAAAAUAAGUAGCGAACUGGCUGAUUUCACACUGUCAAGAAAAACCUCUACUGAGAUAUUGACUGCCUGUACCGCAAACCGACACAGGUAGGUGGGAAGAGAAUUCUAAGGUGAACGAGAAAACUAUUGUUAAGGAACUCGGCAAAAUAACCCCGUAACUUCGGGAGAAGGGGUGCCGCACUAGGGUGAAUAGCCCGAAGCGGCCGCAGAGAAUAGGCCCAAGCGACUGUUUACCAAAAACACAGGUCUCUGCUAAAUCGAAAGAUGAUGUAUAGGGGCUGACGCCUGCCCGGUGCUGGAAGGUUAAGAGGAAGUGUCAGCGCAAGUGAAGCACUGAAUUGAAGCCCCAGUAAACGGCGGCCGUAACUAUAACGGUCCUAAGGUAGCGAAAUUCCUUGUCGGGUAAGUUCCGACCCGCACGAAAGGCGUAACGAUUUGGGCACUGUCUCAACGAUAGACUCGGUGAAAUUGUAGUACCGGUAAAGAUGCCGGUUACCCGCAGCAGGACGGAAAGACCCCGUGGAGCUUUACUGUAAUUUGGCACUGGAUUUUGGUAUUAGAUGUACAGGAUAGGUGGGAGGCUUAGAAGCAUGGACGCUAGUUUGUGUGGAGCCAAUGUUGGGAUACCACCCUUUUAAUAUCAGUGUUCUAACCAUCUGCCGUGAUCCGGCAGUGGGACAAUGUCUGAUGGACAGUUUGACUGGGGCGGUCGCCUCCUAAAAAGUAACGGAGGCGCCCAAAGGUUCCCUCAGCGUGGUUGGAAAUCACGCGAAGAGUGCAAAGGCAAAAGGGAGCUUGAUUGCGAGACAUACAGGUCGAGCAAGUACGAAAGUAGGGCUUAGUGAUCCGGUGGUUCCGAGUGGAAGGGCCAUCGCUCAACGGAUAAAAGCUACCCCGGGGAUAACAGGCUUAUCUCCCCCAAGAGUCCACAUCGACGGGGAGGUUUGGCACCUCGAUGUCGGCUCGUCUCAUCCUGGGGCUGUAGUAGGUCCCAAGGGUUGGGCUGUUCGCCCAUUAAAGAGGCACGCGAGCUGGGUUCAGAACGUCGUGAGACAGUUCGGUCCCUAUCCGCUGUGGGCGCAGGAAAUUUGAGAGGGUCUGUCCUUAGUACGAGAGGACCGGGAUGGACAUACCGCUGGUGUAUCAGUUGUUCCGCCAGGAGCAUCGCUGAGUAGCUACGUAUGGACGGGAUAAGCGCUGAAGGCAUCUAAGCGCGAAGCCUUCCUCAAGAUGAGAUUUCCCACUUCG